AGUGGACGCUGGCGGUAGGCCUAACACAUGCAAGUCGAACGGCAGCACAGUAAGAGCUUGCUCUUACGGGUGGCGAGUGGCGGACGGGUGAGGAAUACAUCGGAAUCUACUUUUUCGUGGGGGAUAACGUAGGGAAACUUACGCUAAUACCGCAUACAACCUACGGGUGAAAGCAGGGGAUCUUCGGACCUUGCGCGAUUGAAUGAGCCGAUGUCGGAUUAGCUAGUUGGCGGGGUAAAGGCCCACCAAGGCGACGAUCCGUAGCUGGUCUGAGAGGAUGAUCAGCCACACUGGAACUGAGACACGGUCCAGACUCCUACGGGAGGCAGCAGUGGGGAAUAUUGGACAAAGGGCGCAAGCCUGAUCCAGCCAUACCGCGUGGGUGAAGAAGGCCUUCGGGUUGUAAAGCCCUUUUGUUGGGAAAGAAAAGCAGCAGGUUAAUACCCCGCUGUUCUGACGGUACCCAAAGAAUAAGCACCGGCUAACUUCGUG
rnacentral:rRNA from 1 species